rnacentral:rRNA from 1 species
CAGAGGGGGACUGAGACACGGCCCCCACUCCUACGGGAGGCAGCAGCUAAGAAUAUUGCACAAUGGACGAAAGUCUGAUGCAGCGACACCGCGUGAAGGAUGAAGGCCCUAGGGUUGUAAACUUCUUUUAUUAGGGAAUAGCAAGGAAGGUACCUAAUGAAUAAGCAACGGCUAACUACGUGCCAGCAGCCGCGGUAAUACGUAGGUUGCAAACGUUGUCCGGAAUCACUGGGCGUAAAGGGUCCGUAGGCGGUUUGAUAAGUCUCAUAUGAAAGCUUCAAGCUCAACUUGGAGAUGUUGUGAGAUACUGUCAGACUAGAGACUGUUAGAGGUAAGUGGAAUUCCAGGUGUAGUGGUGAAAUGCGUAGAUAUCUGGAGGAACACCAGUGGCGAAAGCGACUUACUGGGACAGUUCUGACGCUAAGGGACGAAAGCGUGGGGAGCGAACCGGAUUAGAUACCCGGGUAGUCCACGCUGUAAACGAUGAUUGCUAGGUUUUCGGGGCAUCGACCCCUCGUGAGCCGAAGUUAACGCGUUAAGCAAUCCGCCUGAGUAGUACGGCCGCAAGGCUAAAACUCAAAGGAAUUGACGGGGGACCGCACAAGCAGCGGAGCGUGUGGUUUAAUUCGAUGGUAAGCGAAGAACCUUACCAGGGUUUGACAUGUAAGUAGUACUGAACCGAAAGGGGAUGGACCCGCAAGGGAGCUUACACAGGUGUUGCAUGGUUGUCGUCAGCUCGUGCCGUGAGGUGUUGGGUUAAGUCCCGCAACGAGCGCAACCCUCUUUGUUAGUUGCACUCUCUAACGAUACUGCCCUUAAAAGGGAGGAAGGUGGGGAUGACGUCAAAUCAUCAUGGCUCUUACACCCUGGGCUACACACACGCUACAAUGGCAAGUACAGACGGUCGCCAACCCGCGAGGGGGAGCUAAUCCGAUAAAACUUGUCUCAGUUGGGAUUGCAGGCUGAAAUUCGCCUGCAUGAACGUGGAGUUGCUAGUAAACGCAGGUCAGCACACUGCGUUGAAUACGUUCCCGGUCCUUGUACACACCGCCCGUCACGUCAUGGAAGUUGGUAACACUUGAAGUCGUUGCGCUAACCCUUUGGGAGGCAGACGCCGAGAGUGGGACUGAUGACUGGGACGAAGUCGUAACAAGGUAGCUGUACCGGAAGGUGCGGCUG